rnacentral:rRNA from 1 species
UUUGGUGGCGAUAGCGAAGAGGUCACACCCGUUCCCAUACCGAACACGGAAGUUAAGCUCUUCAGCGCCGAUUGUAGUCGGGGGUUUCCCCCUGUGAGAGUAGGACGCCGCCAAGC